rnacentral:ncRNA from 1 species
GCGGGGUGCCCGGACAAGAACGGGCUGAGACCACACCCGUCGAACCUGAUCUAGUUCGCACUAGCGAAGGGAACGUCUCU